GUUUAGAUAUGUGGACAUCUGUGUGUGUCAGUGUGUAUGUUUAGAUAUGUGGACAUCUGUGUGUGUCAGUGUGUAUGUUUAGAUAUGUGGACAUCUGUGUGUGUCAGUGUGUAUGUUUAUGUAUGUGGACAUCUGUGUGUGUCAGUGUGUAUGUUUAUGUAUGUGGACAUCUGUGUGUGCCAGUGUGUAUGUUUAUGUAUGUGGACAUCUGUGUGUGCCAGUGUGUAUGUUUAUGUAUGUGGACAUCUGUGUGUGUCAGUGUGUAUGUUUAGAUAUGUGGACAUCUGUGUGUGUCAGUGUGUAUGUUUAGAUAUGUGGACAUCUGUGUGUGUCAGUGUGUAUGUUUAUGUAUGUGGACAUCUGUGUGUGCCAGUGUGUAUGUUUUAGAUAUGUGGACAUCUGUGUGUGUAUGUUUAGAUAUGUGGACAUCUGUGU